rnacentral:rRNA from 1 species
AUUGAACGCUGGCGGCAUGCCUUACACAUGCAAGUCGAACGGCAGCACGGGGCAACCUGGUGGCGAGUGGCGAACGGGUGAGUAAUGUAUCGGAACGUACCAUUGAGUGGGGGAUAACGUAGCGAAAGUUACGCUAAUACCGCAUAUUCUCUCCGGAGGAAAGCAGGGGACCGCAAGGCCUUGCGCUCUUUGAGCGGCCGAUAUCAGAUUAGCUAGUUGGUGAGGUAAAGGCUCACCAAGGCGACGAUCUGUAGCGGGUCUGAGAGGAUGAUCCGCCACACUGGACCUGAGACACGGUCCAGACUCCUACGGGAGGCAGCAGUGGGGAAUUUUGGACAAUGGGGGCAACCCUGAUCCAGCCAUGCCGCGUGAGUGAAGAAGGCCUUCGGGUUGUAAAGCUCUUUCGGCCGGGAAAAAAUCGCAUGGGCUAAUACCCUGUGUGGAUGAUGGUACCGGAAUAAGAAGCACCGGCUAACUACGUGCCAGCAGCCGCCGCAG